rnacentral:rRNA from 1 species
UACGGAGGGGGCUAGCGUUGUUCGGAAUUACUGGGCGUAAAGCGCACGUAGGCGGCUUUGUAAGUUAGAGGUGAAAGCCCAGGGCUUAACCCUGGAAUUGCCUUUAAGACUGCAUCGCUAGAAUCGUGGAGAGGUAAGUGGAAUUCCGAGUGUAGAGGUGAAAUUCGUAGAUAUUCGGAAGAACACCAGUGGCGAAGGCGACUUACUGGACACGUAUUGACGCUGAGGUGCGAAAGCGUGGGGAGCAAACAGG